GACGUAGGAGGCGAGCGUUGUCCGGAUUCAUUGGGCGUAAAGAGCACGCAGGCGGUUUGGCAAGUCGGAUGUGAAAACCCGGAGCUCAACUCCGGACCUGCAUCCGAAACUGCCCGACUAGAGGUAGGUAGGGGAGAUCGGAAUUCCUGGUGUAGCGGUGAAAUGCGCAGAUAUCAGGAGGAACACCGAUGGCGAAGGCAGCUCGCUGGGCCACUACUGACGCUGAGAAGCGAAAGCAUGGGGAGCGAACAGG
rnacentral:rRNA from 1 species